rnacentral:rRNA from 1 species
CCUACGGGGGGCAGCAGUGGGGGAUAUUGGACAAUGGGGGGAACCCUGAUCCAGCGACGCCGCGUGAGUGAAGAAGUAUCUCGGUAUGUAAAGCUCUAUCAGCAGGGAAGUAGAAAUGACGGUACCUGAGUAUGAAGCCCCGGCUGACUACGUGCCAGCAGCCGCGGGAAUACGGAGGGGGCAAGCGUUAUCCGGAAUUACUGGGUGUAAAGGGAGCGUAGAUGGUGAGGUAAGUCUGGAGUGAAAGGCGAGGGCCCAACCCCCGGACUGCACUGGAAACUAUGUGACUGGAGUGCAGGUGAGGUGAGCGGAAUUCGUGGUGUAGCGGUGAAAUGCGUAGAUAUUACGAAGAACCCCAGUUGCGAAGGCAGCUCACUAAACUGUAACUGACAUUGAGGCUCGAAAGCGUGGGGAGCAAACAGGAUUAGAUACCCUGGUAGUC